UAAAAAUGAUUGCAACAACAAUGAGUCACUUUAAUGUUGACUUCGAUCAACUCCGCAUAGCCAACACAAUUUUGCAAGACGGACGCUCUCAAUUUGUUGUAACUUGAGGUAAGAAAGACUAUAGGCGGUAUAGCAUUAUUUCAUUUUUCUAAACAAUAUUCGCUGAUCCGAGUUCGCGUUAUCGAUUUUUCAUCUUCAUAUCUGGCAAAAAUGGAGCCCAGAAUUUAAAUCUUCAUGCUGAAAUUUGUUUAUGCCCGAAAAUUUUAUGUUGUUUGGACAGGCUACAGGGCGCUAGUUUCCUUUUUUCUAUACAUAUUUGACUGUUUCAGUGAAUGCUUCAAAUGUAUGCAAUUAAUACAAGACACUAAAUAUGCAAAACGUAGGAAAAUUGAUGACCGCAACUGUAACUCGGAUCGGAGAAUAAUAUUAAGAUAAAAAUUAAGUUCUGUAUUUAACUAUAUAGUUAUAUAUGCCAUUUAGAUGUCGUUAACGUCACUACUAUAUACUAUUAUUUCCAAUGGCAGUGUCUCGUUGUUGCUGUUGCAUUUAGCAUGCACCAUGGCUUAAUAUAUGAGGGAACUAUAAGUCCCCUAGAAAGAAUUUAUUUGUAAUAGCUCGUGACGGCAUUACUUUCGCGAUUCUGUUUGUGUUCGUCUCUACCUUCAGUUUAGACAACGUUCAUGUUACGCCGUAUCGAAAUUGUUUGAAAACGUCACUUUCGCCGUAACAAUUUGAGUACGGUUUCUGAACGGAAUGAGAUGAAGACGGACCGCUUGGAGGCUUUGUGUGUGUGUAUUAACAAACGCCGUUACUCUCUUGUAGCGCUUGCAAACCAAGCAUCUCAGUCAUUCGAAUGCCCUUCGAUUGAUUUUGCUCUAUUUGAAAUAUUUUCGAUUCACAUGAUGAGUGCUAAUGGACCAUUUGCAUUAUAGACUAAAUUUUGAUCUAGACAAAAAUUUCAUCACAGCUUGAAAGAGCGUCACAAAAUGAGUAAUAUUCCAAAGUUUCGUUGCGAAAUGUUGUAAAAUGCGGAUAAUAUAGCCCUACGAAGUUUGCCGUUUUUCAGUCAUUUUGUAUUACGCACGGGUGUUGGGGGCAUCAAUUUCCCGUUUGUAAUACAAAAUGACUGAAAAUUGCAAAUUUCGCAGGGCUAUAUUAUCCACAUUUUACAACAUUUCGCAACGAAACUUUGGAAUAUUACUAAUUUUGUGAUGCUUUUUCAAGCUGUGAUGAAAUUUUUGUCUAGAUCAAAAUUUAGUCUAUAAUGCAAAUAUGCAAAUGGUCCAUUUAAUUUGUAAACAAACCAUAGAUAUCUUAUAUACACUAGAUAGUGCAUCUAAUUAUUCUGCAAUUCAAAAAUUGAAGCCAUGAUUGCAGUCUCAGGUCGUUCCCAUGAAAUGAGAAGAUUCGUAUGUUUUCUAUUUCUUAAACAGGGAACUUAAACAUUAAGUUAACCCUAUUCCAAAUACAUUUUUAAACUAUUCAAAUGAUGAAAGUUAUUGUUGUUUUUAAGCGUUUAUUAGCAAGUGGGAACGACCAACAUGGCCGCCAUCUAUUCAAAUGGGGGUAACCGCUGGAAUAUUCUUGGCUUCAAUUUUACUAAAAGAGAUGCGCUAUCUAGUGUAUAUAAGAUAUCUAUGAAACAAACUAAUGUAAGCCAGUAGUGUGAACACAGCUACAGUCUGCCGGCAUUGUUUCGCUGCGGUGUAGUAUGAACGUAUUUCGGAGUAACUUAAAGGGAAUGCCUAACUGCGGCUCUUGGACUUGGGAGAUCAAUGUAGAAUUGAUAUAGAGCUAUCCAGUAUGAGUGAAGUUAGUUUAAUUAGUUCUGUUCCGCAAGAGAAGAGAACUAUAGGGUUUUAAACUUUCAGGUUACUAGAAGAUGGACGGACAACCAAAAAAUCCCGUGACCCAAGCAGACAAAUCUCGCAUCAUGGGUAGCCAGUCCAAGAAUUACGGAGACGGGAACAUUCCAUCAGGAUCGUUUGGUUCCAGAUCACAGUCUGCUGCAGACAAGCACACUGCUGCCGGACGGACGAACAAGUAACGAAACGUCACGGAAGUACACGCAAUGGAGCUAUUUACUGAACUUUAUAAACGACUGUCAUAAUGACUUUAAUAUACCUUAUAGACGUAGCCUUGUUUGUUAGAAAAUGUUGGCCUUUGUUGUAUCGUUGUUGGCUUGUAAGAUGAGCACAGCGGCUCAAGCGUACAGCUGCCUUUUUUCCUAUAUUAAUUUUACUAUUUUUAACCUUUUUAAUCAAAUUUCGUCUUAUUUAAAGGCAGCUCGAUACAGUUUUUAAUCAAAGGCCGUUGAGGCCGACUCAAUGAUGAGAUCAAAUGAAAGUGACAGAACGAAUUAGAGCAGUUUGCAGUUGUUUUUGCUAACGGGCGCCAUUUUGCCAUUUGUCGCGCUUUUGCGAAAUUAAAAGAACGAACGCGUGUUCCAGCCCGAUUUCCGGUUCUGAACGGCCCGAUUCGCAGGCAAACAGUGCGCGCAAAGCAGGCUGGUCAUUCCCUUUGUUCAACUGCUCCACACUCAAGUAACCACAAAGACUGAAAAAUGGAAAAUUCACAACUUAGUUCCGUAUUUUUGGACAAUUAUUGCUUGCUGAAAAGCAAAAAGUAUCUUACUGAUAUCAAACAACACCUAGAGCGAAUUUUUUCACAAAAGUUAUGGAAAUGUCGUUGCUAUGGCAACAAUAACGUUUCAAGAUGCUAGAAAAUUUGGUUUUUAAAGUAAUUUAACUCGAAAACGACAUCGGUGACCCCAAAUUUUUAUUCCAUAUAAAUUGAUUUCUUUUAGUAUAAUCAAUUUUUUUGUCAAUUUAAAAAAAAGUUGAGGCAAAAAUAAUUUAUUAUGAAUAAUCACAUUUACGUAAUUUGAAAAUUUUGUGCUCGACAGAAUCUUUUUUGAAAUUUUCAAAUUAAUUGAGUACUAAAAAAAUCACUUGAUGAAUUAAAAUUUGAGGGUCACCGAUGCAUGUCGUUAACAAGUUUAAUAAUAUACAUGAAAUAAUAUACAAAAAGUGUCUCAAUUCUGAUUGGCUAAGAGCUGUGCAAUUUUUUCCAAACAAUACAGUACAAAUUUUACUUGACUAUAAGAUACAGACAUUUCUAGCAGAAAAUAAUACAAAAAAGUUCAAACAUUUACAGGUGACAAAAAUGACUGGCGUUUUUAGUAGAUUUUCUAUUAAAAGUAUUUAUAUUAAAAUUAACCAUUUCGCAUGUGACCUGCGCACGCAUGUGACUGCAUAAUUUUUUCAUGUAAAUCAUUAAGAGGCAAUUUUUUUCAAUGUCACGUAUUUGCAAUGAAAAGUGUUCAAAACCUAAAACCUUUUUGGCGUUCCUCUCAAAAUUACUUUGUUUUAGCUUUAUUCUUUAGUUUAUAGAGUAAAUGUAUCUGCCGGUUGAGAAACGUAAACUAAUAGUUAAAAAUUGUCAAUUAAAAUACAAUUAUGAAUGAUGCUUUAAAAUUGGCGCCAUAUUUACAGCCAUAUAAGCAAAACUUACUGAACUUCAGACAUCAUUUUCUCUUUGGCGUGUCUUCUAAAAUCUCUCCAUUUUAGCAUUUAUUUUACAGAUAAAGCACUAAACAUACUUUUUAAGUUUGUUAGUCAAUUGAGAAACGUAUAGAAAAAUAGAAAUUUUGAAUUUAAUCAUAACCUCAAGUGGUAUAUUAUAGGUAUUAGUUUUGAGCGCUUGUUACGUGACAUACAAGAAAAUCUCCUCUUAAUAAGUAAUAGUAUGGUUUCUCGUGCAAUUUGGAAAGACAUACACUCGUGAGUUUUUCAAACACUUCAAUUUGCACUCGUCCUUUGGACUUGUGCAAUUUUGAUCUUCUUUGAAAAACUCACUCGUUCAUGUUUAUCCCAAAUUGCACUCAAACCUACACAAAUUACUUUAAAGCCAUAAUAUCCGCCAUUUUAAAACGUCAUUGUGGCCAUAGCAACGGCAGUUGCAUACUUUUUUGUGAAAAAUUUCAAACCCGUUAGAUGUGUUUUACAUCAGUAAGAUACUAUUUGUUUUUCAACAGGUAAUAAUUCUCCAAAAAUACGGAUCUAAAUGGUGAAUGUUCCAUUUUUAUUAAGAAAACUUUAUCGAGCCAUCCUUAACCCAAUAGCAUUUGUAGCAUUGAUAUAGUCACCAAUCUCAAAACUAGUAUCCAGGAAUGAAAUAGAGUUGUACGUUUUGGGCAGCCACUCAUGGGAUGAGUAUUAAUGCAUUUAUUCAACUCAAUUUAUAAUUUGUUAUAAUUACUAUCUGUAUGUCUUUUUAAAAUAGCUCCAAAUUAAUUCGUCUUUGUAUGGUAUUUAUUUGUUUCAGUAGUAAAUUAAAUAAAAUUUGUGGACAAGUCAAAUUUCUAUGCAUCUAAAAAUAUUGACACAAUGCGAGAAUCGCAAGAAUGGCAGAGAUAUAAUAAAUACUUAAUAUUAGGAUUUGUAAUUGUCAAAAUUGGUUCCGUGCGCACAUUGCACACUCUAUAAACCAGACCUAUAAAAUAGUUUAAAAUCUAGGAAUAACACUGCCUGAUAAGGAAUAACAAACACUGCCUCGAUUUUGAAAUUCAGUUGCAUCGUCUAUAUCAUAGGCAAUUGAUAAAACUAGAAUAGUGAAGCGAAUAGUGCGAAUAGUCGACGAAUAGUGCGAAUAGUCCGCGAAUAGUCGACGAAUAGUGCGAAUAGUCCGCGAAUAGU
rnacentral:lncRNA from 1 species